GCCUUCGUGGUAUAAUGGCCAGCACACUCGCCGCGAAUCAAGAGGUCCCAGGUUCGAGUCCCGGUGAGGGCA
rnacentral:tRNA from 1 species